GAUGAAGAACGCAGCGAAUUGCGAUAAGUAAUGUGAAUUGCAGAUUUUCAGUGAAUCAUCGAAUCUUUGAACGCACCUUGCGCUCCUUGGUAUUCUGAGGAGCAUGCCUGUCCGAGCGUCAUUUCAACCCUCAAGCACUGCUUGGCGUUGGCGGAUUGCGUGCCCUCGCGGCGCUGCAACCGCCCAAAUACAGUGGCGGUCCCGCUGCGGCUCCCUUUGCGUAGUAACUCACCUCGCACUGGACCGGGCGGCGGCCUGCCGUAAAACCCCAACUCACGAAAUGUUGACCUCGGAUCAGGUAGGAAUACCCGCUGAACUUAAGCAUAUCAAUAAGCGGAGGA
rnacentral:misc_RNA from 1 species